UACGGAGGGUGCAAGCGUUGCUCGGAAUUAUUGGGCGUAAAGGGUAGGUAGGUGGUCUCAUUUGUCAGGGGUGAAAGCCUUGAGCUUAACUCAAGAAGUGCCUUUGAAACGGUGAGACUAGAGUCUUGGAGAGGGUCGUGGAAUUCCCGGUGUAGCGGUGAAAUGCGUAGAGAUGCGGAGGAACACCGAUGGCGAAGGCAGCCCCCUGGGCUGACACUGACGCUCAGGCACGAAAGCGUGGGGAGCAAACAGG
rnacentral:rRNA from 1 species